CAGAAAUGUAUGAGAGUUCCAGCUCUUCCAUAUCCUGGCCAAAUUUGGAAUGAUCUUACAUCCAUGGAUGUGACUGUCUGAGCAAGUGGAAGAAGCCAUGGUAUAACACAGAUUAAAUUAUCUCAGUGAUGAUGGUAAUCAUUUCCAAAAGAAGGUAGUGGUCCUCUUCCCUGAACUGUAAGAACUGUGAUUUCAUGCACUCCAAGUUGAGAACCCCUGCAGGAUCCUGAGUUGACUAAAUCCUAAUCAGUACGGCAGUCAAAGAUUCCGUAGUGCCUGGCCAUUGUAUGGAAAGAUCAGUCUUCUCAAGGUUAUUAAAAUCUCCCAUAAUAUAUUCACUGUGUACUUACAUGAAUACAAUGAUGUCAACUAAAAUACAAUUUAUUUCAAAUUUUUAAUUUUGUGUUGUCUAUUAAGUAUGCUUACAUUUUUAUGUCAACAUGGUUUCACUUUUUAUGUUAGAAAAUGCUAAGCAAUAAAUGCUACAGCUGAAUGUUGAAAGGUAUUAGUGUUGCUUGAAGCUCACCAAAUAAACACCCAGAUACUCCACGGGUAUAGCCCAGUCCUGACCUUCAGUGGAUAGGAAACUAUUCAGUGAAAUGUAAUGCACAGUACUGGAUUAUGGUCAGUGGAAUUUUUCAAAAUAAAUUAUCCAUAUCUGUAUUACUUGAUUCGGCUUGACUCCUCUUUUAACUAAA
rnacentral:lncRNA from 1 species